GCAGUUCUUUGAGAAUGGCAUUACUAGGAAAAAAGUAAAUAAUGGUAAAACUUGAUAUGUAUAUCUUUAGGUUUAUAUUCACUAUAUUGAGUUAUGUGUAUAUUUAUAUUUUACCUUGUAUUCUGUUAUGUGCGAUAAAUUCAUACUCGCUAUAUUCUUUCUGUUGUGUAUUUUAAUAUUAUGUAAGAUAUUCUGCCAAACUAUUUCAUGUGCAUUCUUUUUUUUUUCCUUUUUCUAUAUUUUUCUUAAGCCUUUUCCUCACUCAUUCCUGUGUCUGAUUCUCUUCUGCUAAUCUGGGGGAUCUAACUGGAAUCUGACUGUUCAUUCUUAAGUAUACUAAAUGGAACCUCCAUGGACAAUUUCGAUACAGGGGCCGAGUUCCAAUAACAAUAUAAUUGGAGAGUCUGCACCACUCUGUUUCUUUGAGUUAAGAACCUGUCCAAUGAAUAUACCAAAGUCAAUUUCAUCCUACCCUCCACAAUAAAAAUUAUGGUUAGCUUCAAAUAAACGCUGACUUGAUUAAGAAUGUGGCAGACCAAAAUAAUGGGAACAAAAUGAUGGGAUCUGGAUCUAGGUUCACUUCUAGUAGAUUUCUAGUCAGGGCCAGAAAGAGAUGAGGGAUGAGAGAAUACCCUUUGGUAUUUCAUCCCAUUGUUGAUGUAAUUCAUGACAUUGUUGAUGACCACUCCAUAGAAGGCCAUGGGCUCCCUUCAACAUCCAAAAAGCACCUAAAUGCCUGCAAAAUCAUUGUAAGCUCCUUCGAAGUCCCAAGCCCAUAUGCUGCCGAGGUAGUGAGAGAGGAACAGUCAAUAUAAGGUAGAAUCUGGUGGAUGUCCACUCUGGUGAGCAGGCCCCUGGGUACAAAUUGUAGGAAUUGGAGUGAGUUUGGAUUUUUGUGUUUUCCUUCUUGCUGUGGAUCAACAUUGUGUCUUUACAUCACUAGCUCCUCAUGCUUCUUAUCCCAUGUCAAAAAGUGAAGUUCUUCCAUCUUCUAUUGAUACUAUUCUUCAUCAGUUCUCAAAAACAAACCAGAAGAUACUCCAUCAAGACCUAAAAUAUGUUUCUAUAUGUGAAAUUAAUCAUGGAUAAUUGUCUCCAAAUAUACUAGUGGAUCUCCAAAUCUUAAUUCCAAAGAGUACAGGUAAACUAAAGAAUUGCAUGUGGAUGAUGUAUUUGUACAAAUUGUGAUGUAUUUAUUGCUCGUUAUGAUAAUGAAUCAUAUAACAAGGACAUUCUCAUUGAGAUGUGUUUGUACGAAAGCAUUCUUAUUCUCAUAUUUAUGAGCAGGAUGUUCUAGUUUAUACUUGUGUAUCCUUUAUCCAUGAUUGUUAAAAAAACUCAGCAUGAGAUUUUACAUUACCCGGUAGCUUCUCUACGAUCAGUUUUGAUUAUUUUGCUCCCUUGUGUUGUCUGGAGUAUCUUACAUUUCUGAAUGAUGUUUGUUGCUUUCUUCUCGAUAAUUAAUCAACCUUUUUGCA
rnacentral:lncRNA from 1 species